rnacentral:rRNA from 1 species
CCUACGGGAGGCAGCAGUGGGGAAUUUUGGACAAUGGGCGAAAGCCUGAUCCAGCCAUGCCGCGUGCAGGAUGAAGGCCUUCGGGUUGUAAACUGCUUUUGUACGGAACGAAAAGACUCUGGUUAAUACCUGGGGUCCAUGACGGUACCGUAAGAAUAAGCACCGGCUAACUACGUGCCAGCAGCCGCGGUAAUACGUAGGGUGCGAGCGUUAAUCGGAAUUACUGGGCGUAAAGCGUGCGCAGGCGGUUAUAUAAGACAGAUGUGAAAUCCCCGGGCUCAACCUGGGAACUGCAUUUGUGACUGUAUAGCUAGAGUACGGCAGAGGGGGAUGGAAUUCCGCGUGUAGCAGUGAAAUGCGUAGAUAUGCGGAGGAACACCGAUGGCGAAGGCAAUCCCCUGGGCCUGUACUGACGCUCAUGCACGAAAGCGUGGGGAGCAAACAGGAUUAGAUACCCUGGUAGUCCACGCCCUAAACGAUGUCAACUGGUUGUUGGGUCUUCACUGACUCAGUAACGAAGCUAACGCGUGAAGUUGACCGCCUGGGGGAGGUACGGCCGCGAGGUAGAACGUACGAAAGGAAAGUUAGACGGCGUGAGACGUGACCGACGGACGACGACGAGGGAGGAGG